ACGCUGACGGAGCGAUCUUGGACACUGCUGCACCAAACCAACACCAAAAAGCUGUGGUAACACUGGGCCACCCUUUGCAGGUUGCUCACCCCUGGCAGAGAGAACAGCUCGCGCAACGCCCUUUCUAACACAGCUGAUCCAGCCAAAAACGGGAGGGCAAACGGUUCUAGCUCCACCGUUCACACUCUGAUCGGCGAUCGAUGAGUCAGCUGGUGUGAAGAAGGAUACCACAACUCACCUGGGUGGCGUGACGUUUGCUCGUCUUUUCGGAAGUUUUUGGCACCUUUGGAAGCAAACAGGAAC